rnacentral:rRNA from 1 species
CGCGUGCCGUCCUGAGGGUACCCGGAGAAAAAGCAUCGGCUAACUCCGUGCCAGCAGCCGCGGUAAUACGUAUGGGGCAAGCGUUAUCCGGAUUUACUGGGUGUAAAGGGAGCGUAGGCGGCCUGGCAAGCCUGAUGUGAAAUACCGGGGCCCAACCCCGGGGCUGCAUUGGGAACUGCCAGGCUGGAGUGCCGGAGAGGCAGGCGGAAUUCCUAGUGUAGCGGUGAAAUGCGUAGAUAUUAGGAGGAACACCAGUGGCGAAGGCGGCCUGCUGGACGGUGACUGACGCUGAGGCUCGAAAGCGUGGGGAGCAAACAG